CUUCACGGAACCCAGGAAGAGCGGCCGGUCCUCGGCACGCUCCUGGCCAUAAGUGGCGAGCAGCGCCUGCGCCUC
rnacentral:antisense_RNA from 1 species